rnacentral:rRNA from 1 species
GAUGAACGCUGGCGGCGUGCCUAAUACAUGCAAGUCGAGCGAACAGACGAGGAGCUUGCUCCUCUGACGUUAGCGGCGGACGGGUGAGUAACACGUGGAUAACCUACCUAUAAGACUGGGAUAACUUCGGGAAACCGGAGCUAAUACCGGAUAAUAUAUUGAACCGCAUGGUUCAAUAGUUAAAGACGGCUUUGCUGUCACUUAUAGAUGGAUCCGCGCCGCAUUAGCUAGUUGGUAAGGUAACGGCUUACCAAGGGAACGAUGCGUAGCAGACCUGAGAGGGUGAUCGGCCACACUGGAACUGAGACACGGUCCAGACUCCUACGGGAGGCAGCAGUAGGGAAUCUUCCGCAAUGGGCGAAAGCUUGACGGAGCAACGCCGCGUGAGUGAUGAAGGUCUUCGGAUCGUAAAACUCUGUUAUUAGGGAAGAACAAAUGUGUAAGUAACUAUGCACGUCUUGACGGUACCUAAUCAGAAAGCCACGGCUAACUACGUG